UUAGAUCCAGAGGAAUUCAAUAAACUAUUAGAAUCUUAGUUAUUAACUAUAUAUUUCUUAUCUUAUCUUCUUAUCUAUUCAAAGUCGAUAGGAAUUGAAUAUAGAAAAUAAUAACAAACAAAAUCAAUAUUGAAUAUUCUAAUUAUAGAACACAACGAUUAAUAGAGCGAUAUCGAUAUAAUAUAAUUUCGAUUUAUUUAUCACUAUUUAUUUAUCACUAAUACAAUUCGAAUAUUAUUUAAUUUGAUAUAUCUUUUAUUAUAUUGAGUUUUAUUAUAUUGAGUUUUAGAUAAUUAACCUUUUUGAAUUCAAAUGACUUUUGAAUUUCUUCUUUUUUCUUUUUAUUGUAUUAUUUUGUAUUAUUUUAUUUCCAAUUACUAAUGGUUAGUUAGAACCAAUGAGACAUGACCACUUUCAGUCAUAAAGAGAUAAGUAGGAAAGGCGGAAAUUAAGAUAACAAAAAGAGAAUCGACCCUUCAAGUAUUCAAAAUUACAUCGAAAAUGUGACAGGCGAAUAUAUCUACCUAGGAUAUAUAUCCAUCUAUGUUGAAUUGCAGAUACAGAAAUGGUACAAUCAUAAUCGAUUGAACCAAAUCCAAAUAAGGUUCUCCUAUAAAAAAAAUAAGAAGAAGGUGGGUAAGAGAUAAAAUAAAACACUUUUUCGAGAUAGGAAUCCGGUAUCUAAUGAAUUCAACGAUUUCAAUAUAAAUGAAAGAAAAAAAGAAACGACAUCACAAUUAAAUUCGAAUCUCAACGAAAAAAUGAGGGGGGAUAUGGCGAAAUUGGUAGACGCUACGGACUUAAUUAGAUUGGGCCUUGGUAUGGAAACCCGCCGAGUGAGAACUUUCAAAUUCAGAGAAACCCCGGAAUUAAUAAAAAGGGGCAAUCCUGAGCCAAAUCCUGUUUUCUGAAAACAAAGGUUCAGAAAAUAAAAAGGGGGAUAGGUGCAGAGACUCAAUGGAAGCUGUUCUAACAAAUGGAGUUGGCUGCAGUAGUAGAGAAGUCUUUCCAUCAAAAAUUAAGUAAGUAUUUCAGUAAGUAUAAAGUAUUAAGGAUCGGGUGAAGUGAAGGAGAAACGUAUAUACAUACACAUACGUAGUGAAUAAUAUAUUAAAUGAGUAAUGAUAGCCCGAAUCAAUCUAUUUUUUUCUAUGAAAAAACAAAGAAUUGGUGUGAAUAGAUUCUACGUUGAAGAAAGAAUCAAAUAUUCAUUGAUCAAAUGAUUCCCUCCAUAGUCUGAUAAAUCUUUUCAAGAACUGAUUAAUCGGACGAGAAUAAAGAUAGAGUCCCAUUCUACAUGUCAAUGCCGGCAGCAAUGAAAUUUAUAGUUAAGAGGAAAAUCCGUCGACUUUUAAAAAUCGUGAGGGUUCAAGCCCCUCUAUCCCCAACUAAAAACUAAACUAUUUGACUCUCCAACUAUCUAUUUCUUUUCUCUUUUUGUUAUCGCCUUAUCCAUUCACUCUAUUCUCUUAGAAUUGAUCGGUGCGGAAAUGCCCUUUUCUUAUCACAUCACAAUCACAUCUAGAUGAUAUACAUACAAAUGAACAUCCUUGAGAAAGAAAUACCCAUUUGAAUGAUUUACAAUCUAUAUUCUAUUAUAUAUAGAAUUAAUAGAAUUACUAAUACGGAAACUCCCCAAGUUCCCUUUGUUUUGUUAAGAUCCAAGCCAAGCAAUUUCAGUACCUAACUAUAAAUAAAACUUGGCAAUUCCCCUUCCUUCUUUUAAUUGACACAGCCCCCAUUUUCGAGUAAAAUGAGAAUG
rnacentral:precursor_RNA from 1 species